UCAUAUUGUAAUUUUCGUAAAUAAAUUACGAACAGAUGUGUUUAUUAACAAGUAGAUAUGUCUGUUAAUAAACAGAUAUGUCAAUCUUAUACAAACAGUCAUAAUUGUUUGUCUAGGUGUCUGUUAAUAACCAGAUAUGUCUAUUCUAUACAAAAAGUCAUAACUAUUUGUAUAUGUGUCUGUUAAUAAAUAGAUAUGUCUAUACAAACAAUCAUAACUAUUUGUAUAGGUAUCUUUUA
rnacentral:misc_RNA from 1 species